AAACUUUCAACAACGGAUCUCUUGGUUCUCGCAUCGAUGAAGAACGCAGCGAAAUGCGAUAAGUAAUAUGAAUUGCAGAUUUUCGUGAAUCAUCGAAUCUUUGAACGCACAUUGCGCCCUUUGGUAUUCCAAAGGGCAUGCCUGUUUGAGCGUCAUUUCU
rnacentral:rRNA from 12 species